rnacentral:pre_miRNA from 1 species
CAUAUACUCCCAAAGUCCCGAAUUAGUUGACUCAGAUUUGUCUAAAUACUGAUGUAUGUAGACACGUUUUAGUGUUUGAUACAUCUAUAUCUGAAUAAAUCUAAGUCAAUUAAUUUGGGACAGAGGUUGUACAAA